UGAGAACUCCCAACUGCCAGGUUCCAUAGA
rnacentral:piRNA from 1 species